UACGGAGGGAGCUAGCGUUGUUCGGAAUUACUGGGCGUAAGGCGCACGUAGGCGGCCAUUCAAGUCAGAGGUGAAAGCCCGGGGCUCAACCCCGGAACUGCCUUGGAAACUAGAUGGCUUGAAUCUUGGAGAGGCGAGUGGAAUUUCGAGUGUAGAGGUGAAAUUCGUAGAUAUUCGGAAGAACACCAGUGGCGAAGGCGACUCGCUGGACAAGUAUUGACGCUGAGGUGCGAAAGCGUGGGGAGCAAAGCGG
rnacentral:misc_RNA from 1 species